CCUACGGGAGGCAGCAGUGGGGAAUAUUGCGCAAUGGGCGAAAGCCUGACGCAGCGACGCCGCGUGAGGGAUGAAGGUCUUCGGAUCGUAAACCUCUGUCAGCAGGGAAGAACGGUCACGGUGCUAAUCAGCAGUGAAUUGACGGUACCUGCAAAGGAAGCACCGGCUAACUCCGUGCCAGCAGCCGCGGUAAUACGGAGGGUGCGAGCGUUAAGCGGAAUUACUGGGCGGAAAGCGCUCGUAGGCGGUAUGUCAAGUCAAGGGUGAAAUCCCCGCGCUCAACGUUGGAACUGCCUUUGAAACUUGCAAACUGGAUUGUGUGCGUGGAUAGUGGAAUUCCAGUUGU
rnacentral:rRNA from 1 species